rnacentral:rRNA from 1 species
AUUGAACGCUGGCGGCAUGCUUUACACAUGCAAGUCGAACGGUAACAGGCCGCAAGGUGCUGACGAGUGGCGAACGGGUGAGUAAUGCAUCGGAACGUGCCCAGUCGUGGGGGAUAACGCAGCGAAAGCUGUGCUAAUACCGCAUACGUUCUAUGGAUGAAAGCGGGGGACCGUAAGGCCUCGCGCGAUUGGAGCGGCCGAUGUCAGAUUAGGUAGUUGGUGGGGUAAAGGCUCACCAAGCCAACGAUCUGUAGCUGGUCUGAGAGGACGACCAGCCACACUGGGACUGAGACACGGCCCAGACUCCUACGGGAGGCAGCAGUGUGGAAUUUUGGACAAUGGGCGCAAGCCUGAUCCAGCAAUGCCGCGUGCAGGAAGAAGGCCUUCGGGUUGUAAACUGCUUUUGUACGGAACGAAACGGCGAGCACUAAUACAGUUUGCUAAUGACGGUACCGUAAGAAUAAGCACCGGCUAACUACGUGCCAGCAGCCGCCGUAA